rnacentral:rRNA from 1 species
AUUGAACGCUGGCGGCAUGCCUUACACAUGCAAGUCGAACGGCAGCACGGGAGCAAUCCUGGUGGCGAGUGGCGAACGGGUGAGUAAUAUAUCGGAACGUGCCCAGUCGUGGGGGAUAACGUAGCGAAAGCUACGCUAAUACCGCAUACGAUCUAUGGAUGAAAGCGGGGGAUCGCAAGACCUCGCGCGAUUGGAGCGGCCGAUAUCAGAUUAGGUAGUUGGUGAGGUAAAGGCUCGCCAAGCCGACGAUCUGUAGCUGGUCUGAGAGGACGACCAGCCACACUGGGACUGAGACAGGCCCAGACUCUACGGAGGCAGCAGUGGGGAA